AACGCAUCUUGCGCCCGCCAGUAUUCUGACGGGCAUGCCUGUUCGAGCGUCAUUUCAACCAUCAAGCCCCCGGCUUGCGUUGGGGCCCUGCGGCUGCCGCAGACCCCUAAAUUCAGUGGCGGGCUCGUCGUGGUACCGAGUGCAGUAAACAUCCUCGCUCGUGGACCCCGACGGGUGCUGGCCGUGAAACCCUCCCUCUCAAGGUUGACCUCGGAUCAGGUAGGAAUACCCGCUGAACUUAA
rnacentral:misc_RNA from 1 species